rnacentral:tRNA from 1 species
GCGCGCGUAGCGAAAUAGGUAGACGCACCGGAUUUAGGUUCUGGCGUCCAAAGGCACUGCCGGUUCCAGUCCGGCCGUGCGCA